rnacentral:rRNA from 1 species
AUGCCCUAGUAACGGCGAGUGAAGCGGCAACAGCUCAAAUUUGAAAUCUGGCGGCGGCCCGAGUUGUAAUUUGUAGAGGAUGCUUUUGGCGAGGUGCCUUCCGAGUUCCCUGGAACGGGACGCCAUAGAGGGUGAGAGCCCCGUACGGCUGGACGCCGAGCCUCUGUAAAGCUCCUUCGACGAGUCGAGUAGUUUGGGAAUGCUGCUCAAAAUGGGAGGUAAAUGCCUUCUAAAGCUAAAUACCGGCCAGAGACCGAUAGCGCACAAGUAGAGUGAUCGAAAGAUGAAAAGCACUUUGAAAAGAGGGUUAAAUAGUACGUGAAAUUGUUGAAAGGGAAGCGCUCGUGACCAGACUCGGGCCCUGUGGAUCAUCCAGCGUUCUCGCUGGUGCACUCCGCUCGGCCCGGGCCAGCAUCGAUUUCCCCAGGGGGAUUAAAGCCUCGGGAACGUAGCUCCUCCCGGAGUGUUAUAGCCCCUGGCAGAAAGCCCCUGGGGGGAUCGAGGACCGCGCUCCGGCAAGGAUGCUGGCGUAAUGGUCAUCAGCGACCCGUCUUGAAACACGGACCAAGGAGUCAAGCAGUAGGGCGAGUGUUUGGGUGUCAAACCCGCACGCGAAAUGAAAGUGAACGCAGGUGAGAGCUUCGCGCAUCAUCGACCGAUCCUGAUGUAUUCGGAUGGAUUUGAGUAAGAGCCUUGCGCUUGGGACCGAAAAUGGGGACUUUGCCUGGAUAGGGGGAACCAAAGGAACUCUGGUGGAGGCUCCCACGGUUUGACUGCAAAUCGAUCGUCAAAUUUGGGAUUGGGGCGAAAGACUAUUCGAACCUCU